rnacentral:rRNA from 1 species
AGUUUGAUCCUGGCUCAGGAUGAACGCUGGCGGCGCGCCUAACACAUGCAAGUCGAACGAGCGAGAGAGAGCUUGCUUUCUCAAGCGAGUGGCGAACGGGUGAGUAACGCGUGAGGAACCUGCCUCAAAGAGGGGGACAACAGUUGGAAACGACUGCUAAUACCGCAUAAGCCCACGGCUCGGCAUCGAGCAGAGGGAAAAGGAGCAAUCCGCUUUGAGAUGGCCUCGCGUCCGAUUAGCUAGUUGGUGAGGUAACGGCCCACCAAGGCGACGAUCGGUAGCCGGACUGAGAGGUUGAACGGCCACAUUGGGACUGAGACACGGCCCAGACUCCUACGGGAGGCAGCAGUGGGGAAUAUUGCACAAUGGGGGAAACCCUGAUGCAGCGACGCCGCGUGGAGGAAGAAGGUCUUCGGAUUGUAAACUCCUGUUGUUGAAGAAGAUAAUGACGGUACUCAACAAGGAAGUGACGGCUAACUACGUGCCAGCAGCCGCGGUAAAACGUAGGUCACAAGCGUUGUCCGGAAUUACUGGGUGUAAAGGGAGCGCAGGCGGGAAGACAAGUUGGAAGUGAAAUCCAUGGGCUCAACUCAUAAACUGCUUUCAAAACUGUUUUUCUUGAGUAGUGCAGAGGUAGGCGGAAUUCCCGGUGUAGCGGUGGAAUGCGUAGAUAUCGGGAGGAACACCAGUGGCGAAGGCGGCCUACUGGGCACCAACUGACGCUGAGGCUCGAAAGUGUGGGUAGCAAACAGGAUUAGAUACCCUGGUAGUCCACACUGUAAACGAUGAUUACUAGGUGUUGGAGGAUUGACCCCUUCAGUGCCGCAGUUAACACAAUAAGUAAUCCACCUGGGGAGUACGACCGCAAGGUUGAAACUCAAAGGAAUUGACGGGGGCCCGCACAAGCAGUGGAGUAUGUGGUUUAAUUCGACGCAACGCGAAGAACCUUACCAAGUCUUGACAUCCUGCGACGGUGCUGGAAACAGUACUUUCCUUCGGGACGCAGAGACAGGUGGUGCAUGGUUGUCGUCAGCUCGUGUCGUGAGAUGUUGGGUUAAGUCCCGCAACGAGCGCAACCCUUAUGGUCAGUUACUACGCAAGAGGACUCUGGCCAGACUGCCGUUGACAAAACGGAGGAAGGCGGGGAUGACGUCAAAUCAUCAUGCCCUUUAUGACUUGGGCUACACACGUACUACAAUGGCGUUAAACAAAGAGAAGCAAGACCGCGAGGUGGAGCAAAACUCAGAAACAACGUCCCAGUUCGGACUGCAGGCUGCAACUCGCCUGCACGAAGUCGGAAUUGCUAGUAAUCGCAGAUCAGCAUGCUGCGGUGAAUACGUUCCCGGGCCUUGCACACACCGCCCGUCA